AGGGCCCAGCGUCACUGAACCUGGUUGUAUAUUAAACAAAAAGGGCUCUCAGCCGUGCUUGUAGCUGCUUCCAUUGCUUCACACUGACUCAACAGACACGAUGACAUGCAGACAGAGUGACGAUCCUGGAAGAUCCCAGUCCUGCAGCUCUUCCUAGCCUGUGUGCAUUGUAAUCUCUCUGAAGGCAAUAGGAUCGCAUUCGUGCAGCUUCAGGCCCUCAGAUGUGCAGUCAUAGUCUGAUUCAGGAGACUUCUGUACUUGCUGUAUGAAAAUGGUUAUGUUCGCCAUCCAUCAUCAAAAUAGAAGUCACAACACAAGAAAGAUGUCACCUAGGUUAGACUUGCCUUGUCAGUCUAAUCACACUGUCCGUGUUAGGACACUGCUGA